rnacentral:lncRNA from 1 species
CCAUAAGAGAUUUCCGACGAUUUCUUCGAUAAAAUCCCAAGAAAAGAACUCGAUGAACAGACCCAAAUCGGUGGCAAAUUUUCCAAGGAAUCAUUGACGGUUUCUUGAAGAAUUUGUGAGGAAAUUCAAGGGAGGAGAAGAGCCUUUUUAUAGAUGGAUUUUUAGGGAUUUAAUCCAAAUUUUUGAAAGCCCCAAACACCAUUUUUUUCCUAGCCAAAGUCGGAGAAGAGGAAGACUCCCGAUGGGAGUCUUCCUUCUCCCAGCUUCACGUGCACGUGUAAGGGUUUUGGAUUUUUUUUUUAAAAUCUGGGUUAUUACAAGUUUUUUGGAUCAUCAAUGUGAAAUCGCCAUCAUCCGAUUUAGAAAAGAGUGUAAUUCUGUAAGAUUUAUGCUAACACCGGAUGUAACUUAAGCUU